rnacentral:lncRNA from 1 species
GCCCACUUGAUUAAUAUAUAAUAUCACUUUAUUUCAUACAUUUUAUAAAAUUGCAACCUUAUAUCAUGAUUUACUAUUAAUAGAACUAUGUAAUGUCAAAUAUAAAAAUCACACAAAAAAAUAAAUAAUUACAAAUUUUCAACAUAAUAUAUAACUAAUAAACUACCUGAAAUUGAAAUAAUAUCUAUACAAACCUUUGUAUAGGAAAUAAACUUUUUGUUAGACAAUAUAAAUGGUUUAAUAUAUUAAUAUUACUCAAUUUGGUUAUUUUAUACAGACUUUGACAUAAAGAAAUGAACCUUUUGUAAGACAAAAUAAACAGGUAAUUAUAUUGUAUCUUAAUAUUCCCCAAUUUGAUUAUAUUAUACAUGUACUUUGACAUAUUUAUAGUUUCCAUACAUUUCGCAGUAUUAAGUGUAAAAUGCAAAGAGUAGCGGAAUAGCCUUUUCAAACCAAUGUUAUAAAUGUUCAUCUAAAUAUUCCUGAAAAAUGGUUUUAGGAAUUGCCUUCAUUUCAAUAAACAAGGAUUUGCAAUAAUAAGAUUUCAAGAAUAUAUGAGAAAAAUUUAAAUGCGACUCUUUUUAUAAUAUUCUUAGCCAUUUGUAACACCUGAAAGCCAUAAACAAAAUAAAAUGCUAUUCUUAUAAUCUUCUCUCAAUUUCAAGCAUCACAUAACUCAAGAGGGUCCGGAUUGAGGGUUAUUCAGAUCAAUAUUCUGAAUUUCUAUAAUUUGUUUCAGACAUUUUUCUCUCUUUAUUACCCAUUAUUCUCUUUUCUUAUAUAUUCCCAUCCCAUUAUUUUCAAUCCUUUAUUUUUUAGCCAUUUCUUCUGUAUUCUUUUUUAUUGGGUCCACAUUUCUACAGAGUUGACCCAUUAUUCUCCAUUUGAAAACCCCAUCCAGACCCUUACUAUUAAAACAGUAAAACAGUAAACAUUUCAUUAUUUUGCUUGUUUUGUUAAUGAAAACUGACAAUGGAAACAAAUUUUGAAAGUGAGUUCUGAAGGUGGUACCUAACACUACAGGGAGAUAACUCUGUAAAUUCAGCUAAACGUUUUAAUCACAUUAUAUUGUUACGGAAAUAUAAAGCUUCUCAAUGAUCAAAAUCAGUGUUGGUCAAACUGCUAUAUAUUAAAUGAAAUUUCUUGAAAUUUGGUACAUGUACCACCUUAAAUAAAAUUAUAUUAAAUCAAACUUGCUAGUGAUCAUACAUAUUCAGAUCACUUCACCAGGACUUUUGUAAAUAUUCAAGUAUUUGGUUUAUCAACAAACAAACAAACAAACAAACAAAAAAUUGAUUGCACAUUAAUUGCAUAGCACAAAAAUGUAAAUUUUACCUUAUAAAAACAAUAAUUUUACACUGCACUGGAAUAACA